GAAGCUCGCCAGACCGUCGCUGGUGCAAUCUCCGAAAGGAGGCACUGGAGGAACGUCCGGACUGCACAGGACAGCGUAGGAGGCAACGCCUCUCCACCGUGAGGUGAGGAUCAGAGCAACAGAGACGAGCCGAUUGAGUUCGGGUGAAACGGGCAAUCUCUACGCGCAGCAAUACCAAGUAGGCCAGCGUUGAUGUGGUUCCGCAGAGCUGGCGGGUAGGUAGCAUCGAGCCGGGUGGGCGACCCCCGGCCCAGAGUAAUGGCGGUCACACAGCGGGCAACUGCUGUGCACAGAAUCCGGCUUAUCGGCGAGCUUCACAC
rnacentral:RNase_P_RNA from 1 species